rnacentral:misc_RNA from 1 species
GAUGAAGAACGUAGCGAAAUGCGAUAAGUAGUGUGAAUUGCAGAAUUCAGUGAAUCAUCGAAUCUUUGAACGCACAUUGCGCCCCUUGGUAUUCCAUGGGGCAUGCCUGUUCGAGCGUCAUUUGUACCUUCAAGCUUUGCUUGGUGUUGGGUGUUUGUCUCGCCUUUGCGUGUAGACUCGCCUUAAAAUAAUUGGCAGCCGGCGUAUUGAUUUCGGAGCGCAGUACAUCUCGCGCUUUGCACUCAUAACGACAGCGUCCAAAAGUACAUUUUACACUCUUGACCUCGGAUCAGGUAGGGAUACCCGCUGAACUUAAGCAUAUCAAUAAGCGGGAGGA